UGCCCGUCAAACUGAGAGGCACUUCCUUCUUCGCCAGUUUGAGGCUUCCGAUGAUGUCCUUCAUAUCCGAACCGAAGUCUGCCAUCUGGUUGGCUGUGGCGAUCUUCUGCGACAGAGUCAGCAUGGCCCACUCCAACGCGUCCAUGUCCUCCACAUCGCGCACCUGCUCAUGAACCAAUUACGUGUCCAGUUUUCUCAACAUGGCGGCACACUACCGAUCUAUCGCUUUGUGGAACUGCUCCCGCCUCCCGAACACCAAGUGUUUUAUUUUACUUUUUUUGGUUCAAUCUUUUUCUCGGCGUACACUCGCAGAUCCUGGAUUACGUUAAGCAUAUGGAGCCGGUAGCUUUUAUUUUCGUCCAAGUCGACUCUGUGGUCGCGUCUAAAGGUGGGUUCCCACUGCCGAUCCGAUCAACUCGAUCAUCCCGAUCACCGAAAUUUCCCGACCAAACCCGACCAAGCUCGACUAAAAUGGGUAUACACGACUUCUUCUCGACCUCUUGUCGAUAACACACGACCCCCACACGACUCAUUCACGACGUCCACUCAACCAUCCUUCCGAUUUCCGCUCGAUCAUCUCGACCUAUACGCGAGCCCUAAACAAUCUCAGCUCGAGCAAGUAGACCUCAGCUCGAUCGCCACCAGAUCUUUACACGACCAGAUCGUAAUGGUCGUACUACAGUCGUACAAAGCGAUCUAAAAUAACUCGGGUAGAGGUCGAGCGGAUCGGGUACAGAGCUCGUGUAUGGUCGAAUAGCAAUCGGGAAGUGAUCGUGUACGGUCGAGUAGCCGUCGGGUAGCAGUCUAGUAAAUCUGUACAUCAAAUCGAAUAGAGGUCGAGCGGAUCGGGUACAGAUCGUGUAAAAGGUGUCAAUCCGAUCGCCACACGAUUGCUUCACGAUCAACUCGAUCUUCUACUCGACUAAUACACGACCACUUCCCGAGCGCUUCUCGAUCCAUUUCCUACUCGACCGCUACUCGAUAUUUUUUUACAUGUCAAAAAAUAUCGGGUAGGAUGCCCGACCAAUGCCGACCGACCCGACCAACCCCGACCACUCAUGCCGACAGAACCAGACCAGUACCCGACCGCUUGGUCGGGCUUGAUCGAAUUAAUCUGAUCGGCAGUGGGAACCCAGCUUAAUGCGCGACGCGAAAUCCAUGAGAUUCUCGGUCGUGUGGUCAUCGUGCGUGGUCGGGCAACAGCGCAUGUACAUCGGAUAUUGGCAUGUGCGGCAGUAUAACGUCAGCUCCUCGUUCGUAUGAUUGUCCCAGUAACCUGCAAGACAGUAGCAAAUAAACAUAAAACCAUAGCAUUAGCCUAUUAUGUAAUGUACGAUGUAAGCAAACAUACAUCUUUAUAUUAGUUUUAUCACACUACACAUACACAAUGUAUUUCGGAGUGGCUAACGAAAUAAUAUUAAACAAUCUACAUUUUUUUAAAUGACUUGUAUCGAUAGGAAGGUUGGUUUCGAUUAUCAAUUCAUUCCCGUAUUUAAGCUUGUUCCGGCAAUAAAAUAAAUAUACACAUCUCAA